rnacentral:rRNA from 1 species
AUUGAACGCUAGCGGGAUGCUUUACACAUGCAAGUCGAACGAGUGGCGGACGGGUGAGUAAUGUCUGGGAAACUGCCUGAUGGAGGGGGAUAACUACUGGAAACGGUAGCUAAUACCGCAUACCAUCGGAUGUGCCCAGAUGGGAUUAGCUAGUAGGUGGGGUAACGGCUCACCUAGGCGACGAUCCCUAGCUGGUCUGAGAGGAUGACCAGCCACACUGGAACUGAGACACGGUCCAGACUCCUACGGGAGGCAGCAGUGGGGAAUAUUGCACAAUGGGCGCAAGCCUGAUGCAGCCAUGCCGCGUGUAUGAAGAAGGCCUUCGGGUUGUAAAGUACUUUCAGCGGGGAGGCGGUAUCUGCAGAAUAAGCACCGGCUAACUACGUGCCAGCAGCCGCGGUAAUUC